rnacentral:rRNA from 1 species
UACAGAGGGUGCGAGCGUUGUCCGGAAUCACUGGGCGUAAAGGGCGCGUAGGCGGCUUUGCAAGCGUGCGGUGAAAGCUCGGGGCUUAACUCCGACGUCUGCCGUGCGAACUGUGAAGGCUUGAGUCUGGUAGAGGUCGAUGGAAUUCCGGGUGUAGCGGUGGGAAUGCGUAGAGAUCGGAAGGAACACCAGUGGCGAAAGGCGGCUACCUGGCCGUAAU